AUUGAACGCUGGCGGCAUGCCUAACACAUGCAAGUCGAACGGCAGCGCGGGGGCAACCCUGGCGGCGAGUGGCGGACGGGUGAGGAAUACAUGGGAAUCUACCCUGUCGUGGGGGAUAACGUAGGGAAACUUACGCUAAUACCGCAUACGACCGAGAGGUGAAAGCGGCGGACCGCAAGGCGUCGCGCGAUUGGAUGAGCCCAUGUCGGAUUAGCUAGUUGGCGGGGUAAAGGCCCACCAAGGCGACGAUCCGUAGCUGGUCUGAGAGGAUGAUCAGCCAAACUGGAACUGCGACACGGUCCAGACUCCUACGGGAGGCAGCAGUGGGGAAUAUUGGACAAUGGGCGCAAGCCUGAUCCGGCAAUGCCGCGUGGGUGAAGAAGGCCUUCGGGUUGUAAAGCCCUUUUGUACGGGAAGAAAUCCUGUCGGUUAAUACCCGGCGGGGAUGACGGUACCGUAAGAAUAAGCACCGGCUAACUUCGUGCCAGCCGCCGCAGUAAUAC
rnacentral:rRNA from 1 species